UGCAUCGGCCGGGAAUCGAACCCUGGCCGCCCGGGUGGCAGGCGAGCAUUCUACCACUGAACCACCGAUGC
rnacentral:tRNA from 1 species